AAUAGAGGGAAUACAAUGAAAUUUCAUCGUUAUAUUAUAUACUCUUUCCAUCUCCGCAAAAUGUCCAAAGUUGAUGUUGAUGUUGAUGAUGAAGAUGAUGCUUCUCCUCCUGAUCCGUACAUUGUCCUUCUCCCAAGUUGAAGCCAAAGCCAGUGGUCCCAUGGAUACCGCAAGUUGUUUCGUAUGCCUGGCACCUUCGGAUCGAUGACGAUCAAACAUGAAUGAUUGUUUUAGAAAAGAUAUCAAACUAGUCCAGAAUUAACAAUAGACCAUAUAUACAGCUACCUCUGAGUUUAAAUAAAAAAUUAGAGGACUAUACCAAUAUCAUAUAUUCUAUUUUA